rnacentral:rRNA from 1 species
AACGAACGCUGGCGGCAGGCUUAACACAUGCAAGUCGAACGCACCGCAAGGGGCGUGGCCGACGGGUGGGUACCGCGUGGGAAUCUACACAUCCCUACGGAAUAACGCAUGGAAACGUGUGCUAAUACCGUAUACGCCCUACGGGGGAAAGAUUUAUCGGGGAUGGAUGAGCCCGCGUUGGAUUAGCUAGUUGGUGGGGUAAAGGCCUACCAAGGCGACGAUCCAUAGCUGGUCUGAGAGGAAGAUCACCCACAUUGAGACUGGGACACGGACCAAACUCCUACGCAAGGCAGCAAUGGGGAACAUUGCACACUGGAGGGAAGCAUGAACCAGCCAUGACGCGGGAGCCAUGAAGUCCUUGGAGUAGUAAAGCCCUUUGACCGGAGAAGAUAAUGACGGUAUCUGGACAAGAAGCCCCGGCUAACUUCGUG